GAAUAAGUUCAAGAUCGGCCCUUACCUCUUGAAGAUCGAGAGAGGGGCGACCAAAACUUGGAGAUGGGAGAUUUUCAACUUCCUUGGGUCUCCUAGCUCAAAACUUGCUCAAAACUUGAAAAUCUUCAAAACAAGAUGAAAACUUGUGAAAAACUUGAAAGAUCUGAAGGAAGAACUCAAAGAUUGGUGAGGAACGGCGGAGAGCUCACCUUGGCCGAAAAUGGGGAG
rnacentral:lncRNA from 1 species